rnacentral:rRNA from 1 species
GGAUCCAGACUUUGAUUAUGGCUCAUGAUGAACGCUGGCGGCGUGCCUAACACAUGCAAGUCGAACGAAGCACUGCAAACGGAGAUUCGUCAAAGUUUGCUCUGACUUAGUGGCGGACGGGUGAGUAAUGUAUGAGCAACCUGCCUUUCAGUGGGGGACAACAGUUGGAAACGACUGCUAAUACCGCAUGAUGUCAAUUGGGGGCAUCCCCGAAUGACCAAAGGAUUUAUUCGCUGAAAGAUGGGCUCAUAUCUGAUUAGCUAGUUGGUGAGGUAACGGCUCACCAAGGCUGCGAUCAGUAGCCGGACUGAGAGGUUGAACGGCCACAUUGGGACUGAGAUACGGCCCAGACUCCUACGGGAGGCAGCAGUGGGGAAUAUUGGGCAAUGGGCGAAAGCCUGACCCAGCAACGCCGCGUGAAGGAAGAAGGUCUUCGGAUUGUAAACUUCUUUUAUGAGGGACGAAGGACGUGACGGUACCUCAUGAAUAAGCCACGGCUAACUACGUGCCAGCAGCCGCGGUAAUACGUAGGUGGCAAGCGUUAUCCGGAUUUACUGGGUGUAAAGGGCGCGUAGGCGGGGAUGCAAGUCAGAUGUGAAAUCUAUGGGCUUAACCCAUAAACUGCAUUUGAAACUGUAUCUCUUGAGUGCUGGAGAGGUAGACGGAAUUCCUUGUGUAGCGGUGAAAUGCGUAGAUAUAAGGAAGAACACCAGUGGCGAAGGCGGUCUACUGGACAGUAACUGACGCUGAGGCGCGAGAGCGUGGGGAGCAAACAGGAUUAGAUACCCUGGUAGUCCACGCUGUAAACGAUGAAUACUAGGUGUGGGGGGACUGACCCCUUCCGUGCCGCAGUUAACACAAUAAGUAUUCCACCUGGGGAGUACGGCCGCAAGGUUGCAACUCAAAGGAAUUGACGG